rnacentral:misc_RNA from 1 species
UUAAGUUCAGCGGGUAGUCCUACCUGAUUUGAGGUCAGAGGUCAUAAAGCUGUCUCACAAACGAGACGGUUAGAAGCUCGCCAAAACGCUUCACGGUCGCGGCGUAGACAUUAUCACACCGAGAGCCGAUCCGCAAGGAAUCAAGCUAAUACAUUUAAGAGGAGCCGACCAAAACAUGGCCGACAAGCCUCCAAAGUCCA